UGUUCUGUGGCUUAGUUGGUUAAAGCACCUGGUCUAGCGAAUACUGGAUCGUGGGUUCGAAUCCCACCAGAACGC
rnacentral:tRNA from 1 species